GCUGGUUACAGUGUGUUCCCCUCAUUCAGUAGAUUAAAACUCCCGAACGCCGGUUUGAUACUAUGAGUGGAAAUAGGUCAGACGGGACUUCCAUAAUGACAGGACGUUCAUGUGAUUGCCAUGCCGAAAACAGUUCCAGGCAAUCCACGAGUAAGUCCCGCUGGCCGCAUUCGGGAGAUUUAAAAUGGCCGCCAUCCUUUGUUCUCGCCCCGUGUUCGUAUGCCGAAUGGCGGCCACCUCGGAGCACUCAAUUAAGUUGCAGUUUUUCGUGUGAUUACUCGGUGUUCCAAAUUCUGAUUGCUAACCAGGGUGGUCUCCGUUCAGUAGAACGAAUACAUUUCCCGGGCACAUAAUUAAAACGCAACGUUCAAAGGUAGUGAAAGAGCAGGGAGAGGACACAACCGAAUGAACACAGGUGAAUACAGGGAAAUCCUUUACACAAAAUAUGGAGAGACUAUAUAAUGUAAACAAAAAUGCUUGGGUG